UACGUAGGGGGCAAGCGUUGUCCGGAUUUAUUGGGCGUAAAGAGCGUGUAGGCGGCUUUGCAAGUCCGUUGUGAAAACUCGAGGCUCAACCUCGAGCUGUCGGCGGAAACCAUCCGGCUAGAGUCCGGAAGAGGAGAGUGGAAUUCCCGGUGUAGCGGUGAAAUGCGCAGAUAUCGGGAAGAACACCUGUGGCGAAGGCGGCUCUCUGGGACGGUACUGACACUGAGGGACGAAAGCUAGGGGAGCGAAAGGG
rnacentral:rRNA from 1 species